GUAUUGCCCUAGUAACGGCGAGUGAAGCGGCAACAGCCCAGAUUUGAAAUCUGGCCUUCGGGCCCGAGUUGUAAUCUGCAGAUGAGUCUUCCGGCAGAGCGCCGUCCAAGUGCCCUGGAACGGGUCGCCGGAGAGGGUGAGAGCCCCGUACCGACGCGCGCCGAGCCUCUGUGAAGCUCAUUCGAAGAGUCGAGUAGUUUGGAAAUGCUGCUCUAAUUGUGGGGUAAAUCUCCCAUAAGGCUAAAUACAGGCCAGAGACCGAUAGCGCACAAGUAGCGUGAGCGAAAGAUGAAAAGAGCCUUGAACAAGGGCGUCAAAAAGCAUGUGAAAUUGUUGUGGGGGAAGCGCUCGAUGCCAGACAUGGCGGCGGUUGGUUACCCGGCGUUCUUCGCCGGCGCACUCUGCCGUCGCCAGGCCAGCAUCAGUUCGGGACGAGGCUUACCGCCGGUGGGAACGUGGCUCUCUUCGGGGAGUGUUAUAGCCCGCCGGUACCGUCUCGGACCGGACUGAGGACCGCGCUUCGGCUCGGAUGCUGGCGUAAUGGCCUCUAGCGGCCCGUCUUGAAACACGGACCAAGGAGUUGACCUAGCGUGCGAGUGUUUGGGUGUCAAGCCCUUACGCGCAGUGAAAGCGAAUGCAGGUGGGAGCUUCGGCGCACCAUCGACCGAUCCUGAAGUUUACGGAUGGAUUUGAGUAAGAGCACGUUGGGUCUGACCCGAAAGAAGGUGAACUAUGCAUGAAUAGGGUGAAGCCAGAGGAAACUCUGGUGGAGGCUCGCAGCGGUUCUGACGUGCAAAUCGAUCGUCAAAUUUGUGCAUGGGGCGAAAGACC
rnacentral:rRNA from 1 species